GAAAAAUGUAUGCUGCGGUUCCUGAAGAUCUCUGAUUUAAGUUUAAACAAAGAAGGCUUCUUUGAAAGGUCCAAGUAAGAAAUGCCAAGCUAAGGAGGAUGGAGCUGGCCUGGGAGCUUUGUGAGUUAUCAGGUGCCUUUGCGGAUCCAAACGAUCGGAGACCAAAUCCUGGCCAUACCCCUGAGCAAUCAUGUGACCUUGGGAACAUAUCUUUACCAUCACCUUCAUUAAAUCAAAACCGCGGUACUUCACUUUGCGACUCUUCAGUUUUGUAUGAGAAAAUCGUGCUUUAUGCUUUAUGUUACCGGUGAAAGUAGGGAAACCUGGAGACUCGUGCCGUGGAAGAGAGAAACAGCGAGAAAACCGAGUUGCUGAAUCCCAGCGUUUCAGAGUUGGGAGGGAGGCGUUCGGUCCCUAAUUUACCGAGGAGGAAGCGGAGGGGUGACGUGUCCUGGAGUCUCAUUCAAGACACAGACACAGCUCUUUAUUGAGGACCCGGGGGGUUGCUAUGGUUAAACUGAAGGCGGAAACUAACACUCUUUCGAAGUCAAUUUGAGAGGAGCAUUUAGUUACAAAAGCUGUCAACAAUUCGGGUGUAACUAAGUUCAUUGAGGAAUGCAUCAAAUGAGUCAGCUGUCAGACCCGGUGAAACCGAGUUGCUUAACGGAACUGACUCUUUACUAACAAGCCUUCUAUAGGGUCCACUGACUCUCUAGCUUCGAUUCACAAACUCCCGCAAUGCUUCCCGAAGGACACGGAAAGCUCCGAGUGCCGCACGAGGAAUGGAAACAAGA